rnacentral:rRNA from 1 species
GGUCUUGACAUCCCGGAGACCCUUAGGAAACUAGGGGGUGCUUCCAUCUGGAAGAAUCUGGAGACAGGUGCUGCAUGGCUGUCGUCAGCUCGUGUCGUGAGAUGUUGGGCUAAGCCCCGCAACGAGCGCAACCCUUGCCUUUAGUUGCCAGCAGUUCGGCUGGGCACUCUAAAGGGACUGCCGGUGUUAAACCGGAGGAAGGUGGGGAUGACGUCAAGUCCUCAUGGCCUUUAUGACCAGGGCUACACACGUACUACAAUGGCCGAUACAAAGGGCAGCGACACUGCGAGGUGAAGCCAAUCCCGUAAAAUCGGUCUCAGUCCGGAUUGGAGUCUGCAACUCGACUCCAUGAAGUUGGAAUCGCUAGUAAUCGUGGAUCAGCAUGCCACGGUGAAUACGUUCCCGGGCCUU